GCUCACUUCAGUAGCACAUACUUAAAUGGGAAUGACACAGAGAUCACUGUGGCCUCUGCACAAGGAUGACACACAGAUUUGUGAAGUGUUUGAUACUUUU
rnacentral:snRNA from 1 species